GGGAAGAAGAAAAGCCCUGCAAGGAAGGAGGGCUAUUGAUCGUGCUUGCAUUCUCACUACGCGCUGAUGAGGCUGAAAUUGGGCUGGAUCCUCUGCAGUCGGACACAUCUUAGGAGGACACAUCUAAUUCUUGGAAGCCUUUGGUAGGUCCUAGAGGGCUGAAUGGCCUGCUGUGGUCAUUCCUGCAGCUACAGGAACAGCCCAAUGAAUGAAAAGGCAUUUGGAGAGCUACAAGAUUCCUCGGACCCCUCUGGAGUUGCGUUACAGCACAGAGAAAGAAUGGAGACACAACCCUUAGCAAGUGAGGUCCUUCGCUGUGGACAUCAGAGAUCCUGAGGGAAGGAGGAAUCCAUCCAGUCCCUCUCAGGAAGAUCCAAGUCAGGACACCUCAGGAGGGAAGACUCGAACGAAGUUGUCUGCUCUUUCUGAUGGAGCUGAAACAGUGGCUGAACCUCAAGCUCAAGUAAGAGAAGGAAAUUUAUCUAUUAGAUUGUAUUCUCCCGUUCCUUCAGGAAGUCAAGCUGGUGAACACAGUGCUCUCUCCUUCCAUUUUUCCCCCUUUUGUGGGCCUGGGUGUUUUCUUGUCCUUGAGCAACAUUGAAUGGGGAA